rnacentral:RNase_P_RNA from 1 species
AUGGUUUGUCGCUUGCUGUAACAGCAAGAGGAAAGUCCGGGCAACGCAGAGCACCAUAUUUCCUAACGGGAAGUUGGCCGCGAGGUCAAGGUAACGUAACAGAAAACAACCGCCAAGCGUUUUGGCAAGGGUGAAAAGGCGAGGUAAGAGCUCACCGUGACGAUGGCAACAUUCGUCAGCCGUACGUCCUAUGGGUUGAAAGACCAUGUAUAUCGACAUGUGAGGGUUGCUCGCCCGAGUCGAGGGGUAGGUCGAUAGAGAUAUGUGGCAACACAUAUAGUAGAUAAAUGACAAACACCUUCCAUUUUAAGGUACAGAACCCGGCUUAUAGUUCUGCUAU